GAGCAUAGAUAAGCCACAAUGGAAACUUGUGUGCAUGUACUGCAUACAAAGCAACUACUAUCAGGAAUCUCCGACCACUGACCAAACUCCAUUUGUAACCACUGCCUAUUUGUACCUUCUCCUCAAUGACUACAUUUCAUUUCCCCAAGUCCGAUCUCAAAGGCAGGCGGCAGGGAAGCAGCAUAAUAAAAUCAAAAUGCAGAAACCAGCAGCUGGGAGGAAAAAAGACGAACGUGGUGGCCUGGAAGAGUUAAUAAGAUGUGGAAUAUAAACUCUCCGGGGACUUAUUUUGCUUCUUUCAAAGAGAGCUUCACCUUAGUGGAAAAGCAAGGCAUAACCAGGAAUGUGUUGAUGUUGAUAAGAGGAAAACAGAAGGAAACAAUGUGCUGGCUGCAGCAGAUUUAAGGCCGGCAGAAAAAGCCUGCUGCAGUAGAUGGAGGAGAUAGGUGAGUAGAGUGUCAUGGCAAAGACCUUGUCAACAGAUAGCUAUCUGCAAAUAACACAGCUUAUGCAAGCCCGUGUGGUUGAGUGGGGGAAUAUCAUAUUUUCUGGGCUAGUGGAAUAUUCUGUUCCUAUAAUAAUGCAGAUUUAUUAUUUAAGAAGAUUGAAUUACUGUCUUGCAUCAUUUUCUGAUGGUUUUAUGUGAGCAUGUUUAUUCAGUAAAAUUGUGUUAUGCGUUACUCCUGCCUCUGUAGUGGAAAUUACUUUGACAAAGCUCAUAUAAAUAUCUUAUUUUUCCUUUUUCCUGUCAAAUAUUAGCGUUCUACUUACACAGAGAAGAUAAUGCAAUCUCAGAGGCCCACGAAGCCUUAUUCAUUAAAAGCCAGUUUGUCACCUUUAUUUACACAGUUUUUAAGGUUUUGUGCUAAAAUGACAAAUCGGAUUGCCAAAGAAAUCCUUAAAGAGCCGUCUUCAUCUUAAUUAAAACGAUUUCAAAGUUUUAUUGUUUAAUGUUUUCAACCACUCUCAGUUUACUUUUAAAUGAGCUUUCUGAAGAUGAUUUUCAUCGGGGCUGAAAUAAAAUCUUUUCAGUGAAAGAGCAGGCAAACUGUCAAAUCGCCCUCAUGAUUACUGUUUGCUCUCGUGUAAUGAUAAACCAAGAGCGUCUAUUAGUUGUCUCAUGAUAUUUAUAAGAGGUUAAAGAUUUAGCUAAUAAAUUACAUAGGCUGAUGGAAAAUUAUAUUACAAAACCCUUUUCCAGUUUCUCUUUGUGACUUCUACCCACUUAGCAGACCACCACUUCUGUUUAAAGGCACUUUACUAAGGUGUAUUUCUUUACUGAUAUUAACUUAGGCCACAAGUAUUUCUUUAUCUCAAAGAUUUAUUAGGCCAUUCAACCUUUCAGUACAUCUUUUACAAGUAUAAAACUGAAAGCGACACACUUUACAAAAAAACAAAUUCACAAAAACAUGUUUAUACUUCAGUCUGACUGAAAACCUCAAGUAGCCCCUGUGCACUAAAUAAGUAAACAAUUACAUCAAUAAACAUGAAGACCUAUGCACUACGUAAAUCAAUCACAGCAUGUGAUAAGGGUCUGUAAUAAUUAACCCUGUUUUGCUGAAGAUUCAUUUUGACUGCUUUUCCAAUCCCCUCUGUCAGCAGCUCUGCUCUGGGCACCUUUAUCUCUCUAAUUCUCUAUAGGUCCUUCAGUGAGCAGCAAAUCAAUAGACAUUUAACCUACACAGCUCAAAUAACAAGACGUGAAGUAUUCAGCGCUGUCCUGUCAACGUUAAGUCAAGAGUGCUUUUUGUGCAGCAUCCUAACUUGAAUUGUAAUGAACACAGUACACACAGAGUGUUGUCUUUAUUUAGUAAGACGUUAUCAUCACAACAUCUGCAAUAUCAAUUUUUUUUUAUUGUUAAGUGAAUUAACUCAGUAAGCUCAUUUUUCUCACUGAUCGUUCAUUCUAGUCCUUCUGUCUGUCACUGAGGUGACCUGAUGUUCUCAUUUUAUGCAGCACCUUAACAGGUCUGUCAGGGGUGGUGAGCAAAGUACUGAAAGUGUGGAGUAACAGUACCCUAACCAAGUGAAACAAUACUCCAUUCUCGUUGUGCUUGAGGAAAUUCUCCCCUUUUUAAUUUCAGUAAAAGUAGCCACACUACGGUGGAGAAAUACUUUGUAACAAAUUGCUACUAUGGUGCAGUAGAGGAUUACUUGGUAACAGUUUGUUAGAAUAGUACACUGGAGAAUUUAACAAGGCGUCACAAUAUAGCACAGUGGACUCACCGUGUUAUAAGUGAAAGUACUGCAUGAAGUGCACAGGAGUUAGCAUCAGCAUAGUUUAAUUUAUAAUAAUACAUUACAGGUUUUGUUUUUGAUAAUCUGAGUCAUGUAAGCAAACUGUAACUGCAACUAUAAAUGUAGUGUUGUAGAAAGUGUAGUAGAGCAGAGGGAAAGCAGCAUAAAAUAUGGUAACAAUGUAACCUCAUCAGGUAUUUUGCAAAAUGAAUCUGCUAAACUAUGUGAAAUGCAGUCAAGUGGAAAGUACAGUAUUCCCAUCUGAAAUUGAGAAGACAAGAAGUCAUAUGUAGAAUUAAAUGAAAAAUUCUCAAUUGAGGUUAAAUUGGAAGGAAGUCCAGGUCUUGGUUAAGCAUGGUUUGCUUCUUUCCAUCACUGGGCCCUCUACUUAUAGUCCAGUGUUUGUGUCAGUGUCAGGUAAUAUGAAAUCAUUGUUUAUCACUGCCAUCUUGUGGACAUUCAGCAAAUCAACACUCAAUCCACUUCUCUGUUAACCAGGUUCUUACUACAGUAGUUGUUUAAUACACAAACUGUUGCAUCUCUGAAACGUCCAAAAAUAUUCAUGAUAGAGUCAACUUAUUGUAACACAUGUUCAAAGAAGCAGCUCUGGUAGGAAUUAAAAUACCUUUUUUUGUCAAAGCAGCUUUGCAACACUUUUCUUUUGAAAGCCUCAAGCAACAGUAAAUUCACAGUACAGCAGAAUAUCGUGUUCAUUUUCACAGUACUGUCUUCAAUCUUCCAGGGGCUUUACCUCGAAGAUUUUAAUGCACACACAGCAGGAAAAAACAAACUACAACUAAGUUUAUGUGUCUUUUACCUUUACCCGGGUUGGUAAAGUGGAGGAUUCCAUCCUGGCCAUACAUCCCUGGGAAAGCUGAGCUCUGACAGUGCGCCGGCCAGCUGUGUGAAGGCCCAUGAGCCUCGUCGCCUCUCCCAGGCCCGGCUAGGCUGAGGCAGGCUGGGAGGAAAAGCAGCUACUGGAUAGUGUUGUUUGCUGGGGCCGCCAGGCCGACUGUAAGGGCCCAAGGCACAUGGGGAUAAUCCCCUAAUGCCUGUCACAAUGAGAUUUGAUUGGAGACUUGAACACUCGGAUUAUUAGUGUCAAGAGAACAGUGUGUAAUACCUGCUCUCCGAACAGGUUGCUAAUUGGGCUUUCUGCCUCUGUUAAAUACCCAAGAGGCACACUGAGAUUUGUUAAAUGUCACAUUUGAUGUCAGCACAGAUUACGUUUCAUUUCAUUAGCUGAGUGGUUCUUUCACCGGCUAAUGUAACUUUAACAUAAUGCAAGCUUCAGCUAUUUAUAUUAUUUCACUAUACAAAUUCUUUUAAGGGUCAUGUCCCAGCAUAAGGAAAAAACCUUACAAACUAGCUACAGGGAAAUAUCAACACAACAUUUUAAAAUGAGGUAACUGAUUUAUCAAAGUGAUAAAAGGAAUGGAAAAGAAAACAAAUAUUUCAUGGUGGCAAAAGUGGACAUUAGAUAAGCCUUGCUAAAAAGGGCUUUUCAUUUCAUCACAUUAUGGCUCCUUAUGGAGAAAGCCCACAAUAACUCAGUAAUAGCUUAGUGAUUUUAUCUGUCAUUUGAGUCAUAAUCUGACUCAGACCUCAUAAGUCUUCCUGUGCUGUUAAAUCUUGCACGUAUUACAUAAUAUGCAAAUGCUGCAGGUUAUUUCUUGGUUAUGUCUGACUGAAGCUGUGAGGAACAUUAAAGCCAAAGUGACACAAGUCUGAAUGAUAGAAUGCCAUCAUCUGACCAAGAGCACUUCAGUUUAUGUAAUUUAGUUUGAUUCCUCCAGACAGUCUUACCACAUGGGAAAAGUAGGAUGACUUUUGAUCUUUAAGAGCGUGUGAGUAUCUGUAAAAGCCCUACAUUUGCAAGUGAGAAGGCCUAGAUGUAAAUAUAAAUGGACAGAGGUGGAGCCAGAGAGUUUUUAUAGGGGUGGCCAGGCAGACAUGUUAACAAUUUCUUUCCCCCAGGCAUGUCACCGUGGGCCAAAUGUUCAGGUUUGGUCACUUAUUUUUAACAUUUGCUUAUAUGGGCAUACAAUAAACUAUUUAUUGUUUUUGUGUAUUCAUAUUUAUUUUUAUGUGACAAUAAUCUAAAUAGUGGCUGGUUCUUGUUAAUAUGUGUGAGAACAUCAGCUAGAGAAAUGGUAACACAGUUUGAACUUGAAAAACAGUUUGUAACAAUAUGAUGUAACUCGAUGUAACUGUUAAUAUGAAUGUGGCUACAGUACUAGACAAUACUAAUCUUCCAGUGUUUUGAGAGAGUAUGUUAGCUCUACAUGUAUAAACUGUUAAAAUGAUUGCUUCAAACAAUACUUUCACUUUGAAAUAAAUACUGACCAGUAAAUGCA